UACGGAGGGGGCUAGCGUUGUUCGGAAUUACUGGGCGUAAAGCGCACGUAGGCGGCUUUGUAAGUUAGAGGUGAAAGCCUGGAGCUCAACUCCAGAAUUGCCUUUAAGACUGCAUCGCUUGAACACGGGAGAGGUGAGUGGAAUUCCGAGUGUAGAGGUGAAAUUCGUAGAUAUUCGGAAGAACACCAGUGGCGAAGGCGGCUCACUGGCCCAUAACUGACGCUGAGGCACGAAAGCGUGGGGGAGCAAACAGG
rnacentral:rRNA from 1 species